rnacentral:lncRNA from 12 species
AGCCAGCCAGAGGUGAUGAUGGUGCCGACCUAGAUGUCACACCUUUCCUGCACGGUCACCUCAGAAAGGAUGGCAAGGCCUACCCGAAGGCCUUCGGGACACCCCAGCCUUCAGGGACAGUGCUCGGUGACCCCGCAGUGGCCCUCCAACGACAGAGAUCUAACCCCCCUCACUCUUGGUGGGUGUUUACAGAACAAUAGGAAAGCAAGGGAGGAUGACUCUUCAGGACCGGCCCCCACCCCACCCCCCUCAGGAACAGGCCUGCUCAACUGGAUCCGACACACAAUUUCAGAGCACCUGCGCCCCCCAGCCAGGACCAACCAGAUGGAGCUCAGGUCUGACACACACAGGGGACAUAGACGAGGGAGACGAUAACCCGCAUCCCAACCUGGGAAAUGCAGAGAAGGUUCUCCCGUGGACUGCCCUGCGGGUGAGAAAGAGCAAGAGUCCCCAGCCCCCAGCCCCAGCCCUGCCACUCAGCCUGGCCUGCCUGGGCAACGGGCAUGGGGGUGUCUGGGUCCUGGGUGGGCCGGCUCUUGCAGCCUCCCUGGUGAUCCGGGGAGGGCUGCACAUUUGCACGUCCUCCGCAUCUCCCCACACUGUCCCGGAGAUCCUGCAGGCCCUUGUCUGGGCAGUACCCCGCCAUGCAGAGGCCAGGGUGGCCAUGUGGCCCGCCCCUGAGAAAGAGCCCCAGACAAUCCAUGUGUUUCUCUUGUCCUUCAUUCCACCGGAGUCUGUCUCGUACCCAACCAGAUUUCAGUGGAGUGAAGUUCAGGAGGCGUGGACCUGACACCGCAGCGGCCGCAGCAGCAGCAAGAGUAGCUCUGACUUAGAAAAGGAAAGUGCCAGGGAGGGAUGUGGGUACGGAAAGGAGACAUCUGGAGCGCAUCUCCCCCUGCAGAGGGGCUGGGGGCUGGGCGGUGGGCAGAUUGCAAAAGACACCCCAGAUGGGAGCCGCGGAUCCCUUCUUGUCUCAAAGUGAUGCGAUGGAAAUGUGUGGUUUUUUUCUGUAACUUCUACAAAUUAAAAGUUGUCUGUGUGCUGGAAAACCUGCCUCUGUGAUUCAUGCUGUGGGAUGAGGACUCCCUGGCCUUCUAAGUCACCUCCCCUUUGGGCUAAAAUGGACACAGGCCCCCCUCUCCUGGGGUUCUCCAGGCAGGUGGCUGGAGCCCUAGUCGCAAGCCAUAGGGGACCCCUGUUGCCCUCAGGCUCUGGAGGCGCCCGCAGGACUUGCAGCACUGGGUAAAAAACCCGAUUAAGAUUUCUUUAAGCCCAUUUAUAUUGUAAUAAAAUAAAUGUAAAUUAGAUUUAAGUGAAGGCA